GAAGUGGGGAUGACGUCAAGUCCUCAUGGCCUUUAUGCCCAGGGCUACACACGUGCUACAAUGGGCGGUACAAAGAGAAGCAACCUCGCGAGGGUGAGCAAAUCUCAAAAAGCCGUUCUCAGUUCGGAUUGAAGUCUGCAACUCGACUUCAUGAAGUCGGAAUCGCUAGUAAUCGCGGAUCAGCAUGCCGCGGUGAAUACGUUCCCGGGCCUU
rnacentral:rRNA from 1 species